GGUGGCAUGGUAAUUGCAGCCAUAGAUUUGAUUAAGAACUGUGGAGUUGACAACCAGUAUACCAUAGUGGUUAUCGUCUUUACUGUAGAUCCAAUGACAACAAUAGGAUCUAAGUUGUGGAAACACAUCCUAAAUCAAACCCCAAUCGAGUCGCUCACAAAAGGAAUCAGUAGACAGGUACACUAAGAAUUUUAAAGAAGACGGGGCUCUAUAAACUCAUGUCCUUUAAACUUGUACUUUUGGUGUUAUAUAUACUAUGUUUGGAACACAGAUAUAAAACAUAUAGCUUUGUAAAUACAAUGGCUGUUGUUGUACUUUGAGUAUAAUUAUGCAUUGU